AGUUAGUCUCAUCCGUUUCCCUAGUCAUAGGUAUUCCUUUUAGUUAGUCUCAUCCGUUUCCCUAGUCAUAGGUAUUCCUUUUAGUUAGUCUCAUCCGUUUCCCUAGUCAUAGGUAUUCCUUUUAGUUAGUCUCAUCCGUUUCCCUAGUCAUAGGUAUUCCUUUUAGUUAGUCUCAUCCGUUUCCCUAGUCAUAGGUAUUCCUUUUAGUUAGUCUCAUCCGUUUCCCUAGUCAUAGGUAUUCCUUUUAGUUAGUCUCAUCCGUUUCCCUAGUCAUAGGUAUUCCUUUUAGUUAGUCUCAUCCGUUUCCCUAGUCAUAGGUAUUCCUUUUAGUUAGUCUCAUCCGUUUCCCUAGUCAUAGGUAUUCCUUUUAGUUAGUCUCAUCCGUUUCCCUAGUCAUAGGUAUUCCUUUUAGUUAGUCUCAUCCGUUUCCCUAGUCAUAGGUAUUCCUUUUAGUUAGUCUCAUCCGUUUCCCUAGUCAUAGGUAUUCCUUUUAGUUAGUCUCAUCCGUUUCCCUAGUCAUAGGUAUUCCUUUUAGUUAGUCUCAUCCGUUUCCCUAGUCAUAGGUAUUCCUUUUAGUUAGUCUCAUCCGUUUCCCU